UACGUAGGGUGCAAGCGUUUGUCCGGAAUUAUUGGGCGUAAAGAGCUCGUAGGCGGUCUGUCGCGUCGGCUGUGAAAUCCCGAGGCUCAACCUCGGGUCUGCAGUCGAUACGGGCAAACUGGAGUGUUGCAGGGGAGACUGGAAUUCCUGGUGUAGCGGUGAAAUGCGCAGAUAUCAGGAGGAACACCAGCGGCGAAGGCGGCGCUCUGGGCUGGAACUGACGCUGAGGAGCGAAAGCGUGGGGAGCGAACAGG
rnacentral:rRNA from 1 species